AUAAUGCAGUCGAGCGAGCUGAUUCAAAGAUCCCUUCGGGGUGAUUUGUUGGACGCUAGCGGCGGAUGGGUGAGUAACACGUGGGCAAUCUGCCCUAAAGACUGGGAUACCACUUGGAAACAGGUGCUAAUACCGGAUAACAACAUGAAUCGCAUGAUUCAAGUUUGAAAGGCGGCGUAAGCUGUCACUUUAGGAUGAGCCCGCGGCGCAUUAGCUAGUUGGUGGGGUAAAGGCCUACCAAGGCAAUGAUGCGUAUCCGAGUUGAGAGACUGAUCGGCCACAUUGGGACUGAGACACGGCCCAAUCUCCUACGGGAGGCAGCAGUAGGGAAUCUUCCACAAUGGACGCAAGUCUGAUGGAGCAACGCCGCGUGAGUGAAGAAGGUUUUCGGAUCGUAAAGCUCUGUUGUUGGUGAAGAAGGAUAGAGGCAGUAACUGGUCUUUAUUUGACGGUAAUCAACCAGAAAGUCACGGCUAACUACGUGCCAGCAGCCGCGGUAAUAC
rnacentral:rRNA from 1 species